UAUGGUUUCGCCAAGUUGCCUCUAUUUUUGUUUUCCCCUCGUCUACCAAAAAAAUACAUGUUUUGACUGUGUGGAGCUUGGAAAGGUCAAGUUCAAUCUCAUUUGGCCCUCCUCUCUGCCCUGGAUGCAAGAAAAAUAGAACGUACACAUGUCUGUCAUCCAAAAUGGACCCUGCAGCCUUCUCCUCCUCGCUAUUCUCACAAUCCAGGUCUGUCCACAUAGGCAUUGUCUACAUAGGCAUUGUUUACAUAGGCAUUGUCUACAACAUUCCAUUUUGUCCCACUAAAUCUUGGACAAUGAGGCAUCACAAAAAAAUAUGGAGGUUGUCCAUAGCAUUCUCUAUAGAAUAAAAAAAAAUAUAGAAGCAUUCCAUAGUGUUUUUCAUAAAAGUUUGGUCCUUAUAAAUAAUAUGAAAGAGUUGUAUGUAGAAUGUUGAUUAACCAACUAUCCAACUUCAUGUUCUGGGAGGGGAAUGCCUUUGAUAAGAUCUUGACCAACCCCACGAUAAAUGAGACUAGGGAUUUUACUACCAUUUAAAAAAAGACUUUUGUUGGAUGGACCCUAAGUGUCCCAUAUCCUAUGAUUCACACUUGUUGAUAGGUAGGAAGACUGAGGCUUUGCCGAGUGUCUGAGAAGCAUAGAGGAAACAUUUCCCGAAGUCCAUGGCCUUGAUCAUGCCUAUAUUUGAGGGUCAUUCGAUCAUGUCAUAAGAUUUCCCAAAAAUCAUUCUCAAUGAAGAGGGUGUUGAAAUCAAGGAAACAUUUUAGGGAAUUCCAUAAAUUUUUCCCCUUCAAGUAAUAUCACAGACAACAUGCACUCCUUUUCCUCCUCUGCAUCAAUCAUGUGAAAAUCCCUACAAAAUAACAAAUGGAUUUCCAAUGAUUUGUCAAUAAUUCAUUUCUAUAAAAGGGCACAUUCAUCAUUAGACACAUAGAAGUUGGAUAAACCCAAAAACCUUCCAUCCAGAGUCAACAAAAUUGAAACCCAUUUUUGAGAGUUGUUCGUGCCUCAUCUUAUAACUGACGACAAUGAUAGGAAAUUCAGAGACUUCGUCGGGGGCCUCGGUAAGAGUUAUCUUUUCUUUUUAACAUAUUACCCACCCUGAAAUCGGCUCAACCAGAGAUAGGGUUCAACAACUAGAAGAGCAUCACACGUCUUGCGGUGUCUGGUGCGCCCUCGACGACCCUUGAAAAUAUGGAGGACUAAGUACCGUCCAUGCCCGGUCGUUCUCGUAACCACAUCAGGUCUCCAAGGUGAACAACCUCUAGUCAAUAUAAUAAUGUAGGUAAGGGAAGUUGGCAAAACGAAUAUGUAACUUUGGGAAAAGGAUUGGCUCUGAGGGCUGGGCCUAGGGGUCUGCACCCUCAACCCGUGGGUUGUCAACAGUCUUCCUAAGAUGCUAUCAUGGCAAGGGCGGGUAGUCGCGUGCCGAUUGGGAUACAGGCGUAGGAUGUCCCCUCGUGGGGGAUUUUCCCUAGGCAGUGAAGAAUCAACUCAGAACUGGUAUGGACAAGGGGAAUCUGACUAUUUAAUUAAAACAGAGCAUUGCGAUGGUCCCUGUGGAUGCUGACGCAAUGUGAUUUCUUCCUAGUGCUCUAAAUGUCAAAGUGAAGAAAUUCAACCAAGCGCGGGUAAACGGAUAGAGACUUCAAUCCUUAGAAUCCUUGAGUUUGCAGCGAGGAUCAAGCUCAGGAAGGAUAGAGACUUGGAUAAGUUCAGAGAAAAGCUGAGGUUUUGAAGUCACCUCAUGAAAUCAAGCUUAGAAGGGCAGACACCAAGUUAUUUGAAAAGGAAUUAUCAAGAGUCUAAACAGAUGGUGGAAAUUCCCAUAGGGAGAAACAAUGAUUUUCGUGGACCGUUGGAUCUAGUAGAUAUGCGGGGAGGAUAACGGCGAGAGUCUUUUAACACUUGUAAG
rfam:Picea glauca, whole genome shotgun sequence.